CUUUCCCUACAUUACUGCAAGAGGCUGUUUCCAGGACUUGAACCCGUGACCUCAUGGUCACAAGGCAACAGCUUUACCACUGCGCCAAGGCUCCCCUUCAGUUGUUAACUGAAACAAUAAUGUUAAUUUUUGUUGUUAGCUGAAACAAUAAUGUUAAUUUUUGUUAACUACAAACUGUCUUGGACAUUGGUUUUUUCAAAUUAACUCCGUGUUGAACUGGUUCUUCUUGUUGUGUGCUGCAGCCCAGCAAUCUGUUCAUGCCAAAUGAUUGAGUCCUGGUGAGGUUCAUUGCUGGACAUGCAUGGUCUCCGCAGGCAAGGAACACAUAAAAGUAAUUCAGCGUGUUAUCAGAAACUCAUGAGCAUGAAAGAGAAAUUUGGAUCAUGUUCGAACAUGGUAGAGAGCAGAUCGAGGAGAACUUGAAGAUUAAAGGCAAUGAAAGGUCUAUACACAUUAGCAUCCGAACCAGAACAAUCAAGUUCAAAGCUCUCAUGGUUGACUGGAGAAAAUCAAAGGAGGUGUGAGUUCGGAAGUAAUACCUGGACUACCUAUGGGGAGUUCUAUGGUUGACAUAGAGGGGAUUGUUGCUUCAUGUAUAAUUAGGCCGCUCAAUGGUUGUGGGUCAGCUGCAAUGGCUUGCGAAAGGAGUUGUUCAAAUUAGUAAAAAUUCAAUAUGAAAGGCAUUUAAAGAUUGUCUCAGAGUUAUACCUAGACUCCCUUUGGGUAGUUCAAUGGUUGAGGGCGAUGGGGUUGGUGCUUCGCGAAUAAACAGUCCGCUUGAUGGUUGUGGGUCAGAUCGGUUGUCUUGCGAAAGGGACUUUGCUAAUUAGUAAGAAACAUAAUUGAAGGUGAAUUACUAAAAACAAUACACAUAUUCCAUAUACCUGGACCCUCUUUGGGGAGUAUAUUAACAUUGGUGUCUUCACCAAGAGUGAGUCGGAGGCCAUUUGUCGCAUCCAUCUGUCGCUGUCGGUCUUCCUGCUGUUUCUUCUUCUGAUAAGAUUCUCGUCUCUUUGUGUUCAACUUAUCCUUUUGUUCUUGGUACCCUUGCUCUUCUUUUUUCUUCUUAUAAGUUGCUCUUCUCCGUGCGUUAAUGACAUCCCUUUCUUCCUUUGAUAAGGUCCCUUUACGUUGGCCAGCACGGCCCCUCGUAGCUCCAACUGUUGUUGUAGGUAUACACACAUUAGCAUCCGAUUUUGAAGAGUAAUAGUAUUUCUGGAUAAAAUCAUGCACCACCAGGGUUGCAAUAUAUUAAUUAUAUACCAAACCAGAUUACUCGCAACAAUCCCCUCUGAUGGAUUAAAUUUACCGCUUCAUUAUAUUUAGAAAUCUGAAGGAGGUGUGAGUUCGGAAGCUAUACCUGGACUACCUUUGUGGUGUUCUAUGGUUGACACAGAGGGGAUUGGUGCUUCAUGUAUAAUCAGGCUGCUCGAUGGUCGUGGGUCAUAUGCAACGGCUUGCGAAAGGGAUUGUUCAAAUUAGUAAUCACCAAUAUCGAAGGCAUUUAAAUAUUGUUAAUGAGUUAUACCUGGACUCCAUUUCGGGAGUUCUAUGGUCGAGGGAGACAGGACAUCUGCUUCAUGAAUAAACAAGCCGCUCGAUGGUUGUGGGCCAGCUGCAAUGGCUUGCGAAAGGGAUUGUUCAGAUUAGUAAUUUAACAAUCACCAAAUACCAAUAAAUUAUCAAUUCAAUAUACCUGGACCCUCUUUGGGGAGUCUAUCAACAUUGGUGAUAUCACCAAGAGGUUGUCGGAGCCCAGUUGUCGCCUCCAUUUGUCGCUGUCGGUGUUGCUUAGCAAUAUUCACCCUUUCCCAACGAGAACCAAAUGGGGUCAAGUCGUUUGAGGACAUCACUAUCAGAGACAAUUGUCAUUGGCAAAGCAGAUCAAUAAGUACCGUAUACUAUAUUUAACGCACUUUAAUCUACAUUGAACAGAAGUAAAGUAAGUUCUUGGCAUGUUAGGUACAAUAAUGCUUCUCUUCAGUUUUUGUGCCCAAUAACCAGCAUUGUCAUCUAAUGCAUUGCUUGCUACAGGUUCCGUAAAAUGGCAGCGGGUAGAGUUCUUGUUCUACACAAAGGAUGUUAACUAACCUUCUUGUAUUAUCUUUAUAUCUGCAUGAUUUUGGUAGAUUGAGUUGUGCAAUGGAUUAACUACUUUGGUUCAAGUUUUCUUCUUCCUAGGCUGGUCGAGAUUAAGAAAAGCAAAAAAAAAUAAAAAACAUAGGAGAGUAGAAGAAACCACACAGAAAAGCAUAGAGUCAGGGGGCAGCAUCAUCUCGUCCUCCAUUAGUAGUAAUUUUUCUCGGACACAAAUCUUAUUUCUCAUACGCCAUUGACAAGACAAACUUGCUUGGAGUUUUGGCUCCAGGGAGCAUAUACUCCCUGGUGAACAGUAAAUAGAAAACAAAAUCCUGAAGAUGGAUCUUGUUUUGUAAACACAAUAAAUUUUCAAAAUCCUGAAGUUUUUCUGUAGACUUUCAUGUUAGUGUAACAAGCGUGCUUGCCAAUUAUUUCGGUCUACUCCUUGCUCUUGCUUUGGUGUCAUCACUCUACUUCUCUCCAUACAGUUUCACCCUGACAUGAAAAGCUAGUUCUUAUUAUCCAUGUCAUUUGUUUUUGUAUGCAUUGGUAACACUCAUAUGUACAUAUGUGCUCCUCAAAUAUUUGGAUUUUGAACCACCAGACCAUUCAAAUAAAUGCAUGGACUCUUACCUAGAUAUAAAUAAAUGGCAGGGAUAGUUGCAUCAGUACAUGCUUGAGGAACACUAUGUUUGACCACGAAGAUAGGUUUGUGCCAAGUACUAAUUUGUGAUUUGUGACAAGUACUGAUUUGUCACAAGUAUAUAUACAAACUGAAGAUAGUUCCAUCAGUAUAUAUAAAAACUGAAGAUAGUCAACUAAGUGCAUAUAAGUGCAUACUGGAUUCCAUAUCAAUUAUGUACCACAGUUAUUUUAACAAGCUCUUGAUAAUUAAAAAAAAAGGAACACUAUGGAGCAUGUACUCCCUCUUUUCCAAAUUACUCGUCGCAGAAAUUGAUGUAUCUAGAACUAAAAUACAUCUAGAUACAUCCAUACAUGCGACAAGUAAUUCGGAAUGGAGGGAGUAUAUAGCAAAUUAUCCUCUGUGAGCCAUGUUCUUGCUACAGAUUACUUCGGUAGAACGUCAGAUAAAUUAUAGCCGGGGUUAGGAUACCUCUCGAGAAGCAGUAAGUUUUCGAAAGGGUUGAAUGUAUACAUAUGUCAAGCCUUGCUAUGCAUUGGUUGUAUACUUAAAGCAGUUGAGUACUUACUUUGAACAGGUAUAUGCCUCGCUAGCACACAAGAACAGUCAGCUCCAUGUAUGAAUCGGACGAACAGUUGGGGCUAUGUCACACCACCAAUCGAACAGUUCCGCGCCAGGACCCUUGUCUCACUCGCAGCCGCGCCGGCACCCGUGGAUCACUGGAAGCCAGGCCGGCACCCGUGUCUAGCUGGCAGCCGCGCCCGGCACCGGGGGCAAAGUUUGAAGAAACAGGCCUCGCACACCUGAUCCGACGACAAACUUUGAAGAAACAGUUCAAAUCCACAUGAUCCGAACGCAAACCUGGAAGCAUGGAGAAUCAGGCCUUGCUCGCCCCGCUCGGAAGAUAGGAUUUGGAAAUUGUUUGUUGUAUAUGGAAAGAGCAAAAAUAUUAGAUUAAACUGUUGUUUAUGGAAGCUUCUCGUGACGGAAUUUUCUGAUAUGGUUCCAUAUGAUUUGAUUUGAUUGGUGUCGUAAAUUGAAGGGAAGGACGGAAGGUUUGUUGUUUUAUAUGGAAAGGGGAUGGAACGUUUGGCUUG